rnacentral:misc_RNA from 1 species
GAUGAAGAACGUAGCGAAAUGCGAUACGUAAUGUGAAUUGCAGAAUUCAGUGAAUCAUCGAAUCUUUGAACGCAUAUUGCGCUCUCUGGUAUUCCGGAGAGCAUGCUUGUUUGAGUAUUAGUAAACACCUCAACUUCCAUAUCUUUUUUGAAAUGGGAGUUGGACUUGAGUGAUCCCAACGCUUUUCCUCACCGAAAAGUGGCGGGUUACUUGAAAUGCAGGUGCAGCUGGACUUUUCUCUGAGCUAUAAGCAUAUCUAUUUAGUCUGCCUAAAAAACAGAUUAUUACCUUUGCUGCAGCUAACAUAAAGGAGAUUAGUUCUUGUGCUGACUGAUGCAGGAUUCACAAAGACGGCUUCGGCCGACUUUGUAAACUCGAUCUCAAAUCAAGUAAGACUACCCGCUGAACUUAAGCAUAUCAAUAAGCGGAGGA